CCUACGGGCGGCAGCAGUGGGGAAUAUUGGACAAUGGGCGAAAGCCUGAUCCAGCCAUGCCGCGUGUGUGAAGAAGGCCUUCGGGUUGUAAAGCACUUUCAGUGGGGAAGAAAGCCUGGGGGCUAAUACCCUCGAGGAAGGACAUCACCCACAGAAGAAGCACCGGCUAACUCCGUGCCAGCAGCCGCGGUAAUACGGAGGGUGCGAGCGUUAAUCGGAAUUACUGGGCGUAAAGCGCGCGUAGGCGGUCUGAUAAGCCGGUUGUGAAAGCCCCGGGCUCAACCUGGGAACGGCAUCCGGAACUGUCAGGCUAGAGUGCAGGAGAGGAAGGUAGAAUUCCCGGUGUAGCGGUGAAAUGCGUAGAGAUCGGGAGGAAUACCAGUGGCGAAGGCGGCCUUCUGGACUGACACUGACGCUGAGGUGCGAAAGCGUGGGUAGCAAACAGGAUUAGAUACCCUAGUAGUC
rnacentral:rRNA from 1 species